UACAGAGGGUGCAAGCGUUAAUCGGAAUUACUGGGCGUAAAGCGUGCGUAGACGGUUAUGUAAGUCGGGUGUGAAAGCCCCGGGCUCAACCCGGGAACUGCGUCCGAUACUGGAAGGCUUGAAUCCGGGAGAGGGAUGCGGAAUUCCAGGUGUAGCGGUGAAAUGCGUAGAUAUCUGGAGGAACACCGGUGGCGAAGGCGGCAUCCUGGACCGGCAUUGACGCUGAGGCGCGAAAGCCAGGGGAGCAAACGGG
rnacentral:rRNA from 1 species